UACGUAGGGGGCUAGCGUUGUCCGGAAUCAUUGGGCGUAAAGAGCGCGUAGGCGGCUAGAUAAGUCCGGUGUGAAAGUCACAGGCUCAACCUGUGAAUGCCGCUGGAGACUGUCUGGCUAGAGUCCGGAAGGGGCGAGUGGAAUUCCUGGUGUAGCGGUGAAAUGCGUAGAUAUUGGGAGGAACACCAGUGGCGAAGGCGGCUCACUGGACCGGUACUGACGCUGAAGCGCGAAAGCGUGGGGAGCAAACGGG
rnacentral:rRNA from 1 species